ACAGAGCGUCAUGUCAUGCCCGAGGCUGCUGAUUGGCGGCAGCAGCAGUCACAUGACACCGGGGUGCCAAAAGAACACAUCAGAAGCUGAACACUGCAGGCAGAAUUGGGGGUCAGCAUGGGAACGGAGGUGGAGAGCAAACAUAAGGUAGAAGCCGUGCAGCACCAACCAGGUACAUGACAAGUGCCGCCGAUGCAGCAAGGAGGGCAAAGAAAGCACCUGAGAAAAGGACGUGGUUUAAGAACGCUCCGUCACAGUCUGCUCUGCGCUCCUCCCAGCUCUACAGGAAGUGCUGCUCACUUUACCUGGGCAGCAAGGAAUUUGACCCGCUCACAGGUUGCUGUAGUAGAAACCAUGAUGUCACUGCGGAGCAACAGGAUCGGGCGGGGAUUGAUCUCCUGCUAGACUAGCAGCAGAAGGCUUGGCACUCAGUCUGCUCUGCCUCCCAGCCAGGCUGCCACUUCAUUACCUCUCACCCAUCGUGUGCUACAAGCGUAAUCCUGCACCCUUCCAGUGCUGGAAAGCAUCAAAAUGCAAAAGCACCGCAGUGCCACAUAACAACACUUAUUUAUAUAGCACCAAUACAAGUAUACAUACCAAUUGGA